GAUUUUCCGGGUUGAUCCCGCCGGACCCGACUGCUAUCGGAUUGGGACUAAGCCAUGCGAGUCAACUCCACAAGGGGUGGCGUACGGCUCAGUAACACGUAGUCAACCUACCCUAGGGACGGGGAUAACCUCGGGAAACUGAGGCUAAACCUCGAUAGGCCAUAACUGCUGGAAUGGGUUAUGGUUUAAAUCUACACGGCCCUAGGAUGGGACUGCGGUCGUUCAGGUUGUUGGUGGGGUAAUGGCCCACCAAGCCUAUAACCGAUGCGGGCUCUGAGAGGAGGAGCCCGGAGAUGGGCACUGAGACAAGGGCCCAGGUCCUAUGGGGCGCAGCAGGCGCGAAACCUCCGCAAUGGGCGAAAGCCCGACGGGGUCAGUCCGAGUGAUUCCUGCUAAAGGAAUCUUUUGCCAGCUGUAAAAAGGCUGGUGAAUAAGGGGUGGGCAAGUUUGGUGUCAGCCGCCGCGGUAAUACCAGCACCCCGAGUGGUCGGGACGAUUAUUGGGCCUAAAGCAUCCGUAGCCGGUCUAGCAAGUCUUCCGUUAAAUCCAACGGCUCAACCGUUGGGCUGCAGAGGAUACUGCUAGGCUAGGGGGCGGGAGAGGCGAGGGGUAUUCCCGGGGUAGGGGUAAAAUCCACUGAUCCCGGGAGGACCACCAGUGGCGAAGGCGCCUCGCUAGAACGCGCCUGACGGUGAGGGAUGAAAGCUGGGGGAGCGAACCGGAUUAGAUACCCGGGUAGUCCCAGCCGUAAACGAUGUAGGCUCGGUGUUGGGUUGCCUUAGUGGCAACCCAGUGCUGCAGGGAAGCCGUUAAGCCUACCGCCUGGGGAGUACGGCCGCAAGGCUGAAACUUAAAGGAAUUGGCGGGGGAGCACCACAAGGGGUGAAGCCUGCGGUUUAAUUGGAGUCAACGCCGGA
rnacentral:rRNA from 1 species